ACGGAACACAGGGGCGUGUACAGAACUGGAAACUCUUAGUCUUGCGUCUUACUACUUUAAAACAGCAUCUCAACAGACCUUAAGCCUUGACACAUCUUUCGAACUAAAACAAGAAACAGAGAAGCAAUGGAUUCUAUCAUUUCGAGUACCCAACGCAUUACCACUGCGGAGGACAUGAGGAACCAAACCGAACUGCUGUCCUACUCUAACUGGGAAAAGUAUUUGACUCCAGCACCAGUAUCCAUAGCUAUCCUGGGAGAGCUGGUAUUCCUCUCCUCCAAGACAGAUUUCUCUAUCAACAAGAAUUCCCCCAUAGGUGGUUUCAAAUACAUCCGAUACCCAGAAUCCUUCCGAGCUUGCCUCAUGCAAGUGUGUAACUCUGGUUGGUGGGCAUUUAACGAAGCCCAUAAAAACAUGGAUCAAAUUCGUCUCCAUACUGCCCGAAUUCCAGAUUACACGAAGACGGCCAUGAAGAUUUUAUUCAAAGACAAUGAUGAGGUCAUUAAUGCACAUCUUCCUGGUCAGCUGAAAAAUAUCCAAAUCAUAUCAGAUGAAUGUCUUAAACUGUCUGUUGAAACAGAAGACCAUUUCAAAACGGUCAUCAAUAUUAUCCAGGAGCUGUUGUUGGCAUGUAUGAAUUCGAAUGCAGUUUAUGGCAAUGAGAUGGAGGAGCUCAGGAGGAAACUAGAAGAGGCCAAAAUGAGGGAGCAGUCAGCACAAGAAAUCAAGAGAAGAACUGAGCAGGCAAUGAGAGACAUUGACAAAGAACUCGAGCGAGCUAGAGGGAACUUCCAGAAAGCGCUGGAUUCUCUUCCAACUGGGUGGAAUUUAGUUGGGAUGGAAAUCGUCGGAGGAAUAUUCCAGAGUAUCAACACAUUGUUAAAUGGACUGACAUCCUUUGUAGCCAACCCAGUGACACGCAUGUGUGGCGUAUCAACACUGGUUGCUGAAACGGUCCAAAACAUUAGAAGUCAGAGUCGCAGUAAUGCGAUUGAUGACAUCAUAUCAUUCAGUAAAUCUGCUGAGAUUCUCGCACUUGUGGUGGCUAUAGAAGAAAAAAUGUUUGUGACUGGCCAAAAUGAGAUUGACUGGAAGAAUCUUUAUGAUCAGAAGGAGAAGUAUACAAAAACUGAUUUCAUAGAACAGCAGUUCAAAAGAAUUCUUGGAGAUUUAGAGGAAGUCUCAGAAUGCCAGGGAAAAUCCCAAGUUCAUGUGGUAUGCAAAAAGGGCAUUAACAUAUGCAGGCAGUUGGCAUGUUAUGCACCAGAAGGCAAAUGUGACAAAAACACAUGCUUGAAGAUAAUUGAGGAGCUCUCAGAAUUAAAAAAAUCUGCUCGUAUUUUUGACAGCAAAAGCAAAGCUUCAACGCAAUCCGCAGCCAUUUCUCCACAACCCCCGAUGAUGUUUAAAAAUGCAAACAGUCAGGAGUGCGUGAAUCCGGCACAGCGGGCAUCAGAAAAUGCACGGUUCCUCAUAGAGCAGAACCGAGCUCAGCUAAACAUGACGAUGGAACUCCGUGAAAAGUGCAUGAAGAUGCAAGAGGAAAACCAUAAAGAUCUAACCAAAGUCCUGAUCACCAUGAGAAACUGUGAACUCAAAGAGAUUGACUUCAAAACCACCAUAGAGAUGCUGGUCAAAGGUAUGGAUGCCAUGGGGAAAUUGCAGCAGAGGUGGCAGAUGAUGGUUCAAUUCUUUCAGAUGGUUUCCAACAUUGUGAAAACCAACCUCAACCCGUGUCUCACAGAUUUUGUCUCAACAUCUGCGGACACCAAAUGCCUCUCCUACAAUGCCAAGCUCAUCUCGAAAGACUUGAUCUACAAGCAAGCCUUCCAAGCCUCUAACAUUGCCAGUCUGGUUCAUAUGAUCUCAGGAACAUACACAGAGGUGUCCAGCAGGUAUCUGAUGGACAGCAUCGGUUCACUGAGUGCUCUAAUGACCAUGGACCAAAGCAGACCAGAAUUUCAGCUGGCGCGUCAUAGGUUUCAGAAUUCCUGUGAGGCGGCAGAGAAAAAUAUCUUAUGGUUUGUUCUGAAGAAAAAAGAGGAGUUUAAAAAUAAGAGCGUUGCAAGACAACAACAGAUUGAGCGAGAGUUGCUGGCCAUUCUGCCCCCUGCUUCUCCAGGGCAAAUGGAGAGAAUUCAAGAGGCUGUUCAAGCUGGAUUCAGUGAGGAUGAAGCAGCAUCUUACUACUGAUGGGGUAUAUUGGAGAAAAAGGUUUUUUUCCCCUGAGUCUCAUGGCUUAAUACAACCAGAUAUAACUAGUUGAUUAAAAGAUUACAGUGCUGGAAGUAUCAAAUAAGUGACUCAGACUUAAGAGUUUUGCUUAGUUUCACAGCUUUAUUAAGGAAGCAUUCGUUUUAUAAAAGACGGCAAAAGCAUGAAGGGUAGAUGUGGGUUGAUUCAGAUAUAAACAUUAACUUUUGUUUAUAAGAAAGAUUUCGUCAGUUACUGAGCGGAAGACAAUGUUCAAGUAAACCACUUGUAAAUGAGGAUGUAUGUGAGAGUUGCAAAACAGGAAAGGCCACUGGGUGUGUGCCGUCUCAAAGAGUACACGAAAGUGAAAGAAUGUAACAGUGGAAAAUUACAGCCACGGUAAAAAAUAAAGAGACCAUUUUAGAUUUUCAUUAAUUCAGCAUUUCUAGAUGUAUUGUGGCCAUUCCAGUCCAGUGUCUGUUGAAUUUCAACAAAAUCAAACCUCAGGAGUCAUCCAACAGCAAUGUGAAAGACUGACAGCAUGACAAGACAAAUGAAAAUGGAUAAAAAUAAAAGUACACAUAAAAUAAAUCACAUACAUUUUUUAACUUUUCCUAAAUACACGUACAAAUAUUACUGCUGUAUUGCUUAAACGUGAAUAUGAACUUGUUUUCUUUGCAGUAUUUGAGGUCUAAAAAAUACAGAGCAUCAUUUCUGUUAUUUUGACCUGUUUCUCCAGUUUUAAUUUUCUGCAAAUAUAAGCAAAUAGAAACAAUAUUUUUUUU